rnacentral:rRNA from 1 species
AACGGCGUCGAGCGGCGGACGGGUGAGUAAUGCCUAGGAAAUUGCCCUGAUGUGGGGGAUAACCAUUGGAAACGAUGGCUAAUACCGCAUGAUGCCUACGGGCCAAAGAGGGGGACCUUCGGGCCUCUCGCGUCAGGAUAUGCCUAGGUGGGAUUAGCUAGUUGGUGAGGUAAGGGCUCACCAAGGCGACGAUCCCUAGCUGGUCUGAGAGGAUGAUCAGCCACACUGGAACUGAGACACGGUCCAGACUCCUACGGGAGGCAGCAGUGGGGAAUAUUGCACAAUGGGCGCAAGCCUGAUGCAGCCAUGCCGCGUGUAUGAAGAAGGCCUUCGGGUUGUAAAGUAC